ACCUAAUAGCGCCAUCACCAGAGCCAAGGGGAAUUAUAGAUUGGACAGAUCCCUUUCCAUAAGUUUGUGUUCCAAUAAUAGUUGCUCUUUUAUUAUCACCCAAAGCUCCAGCAAAUAUUUCUGAGGCUGAGGCUGAUCCACCAUUAGUUAUAAUUAUAAUUUCAAUUCCAUUUGUGAUAUCACCUUUUUUUGCAAAAAAUCUUUGCUUUCGUGACUCAUCUCUACUUUUUGUUGAUACGAUUUCUCCUUUGUCCAGAAAUAAAUCGGUUACCUUAAUUGCUUGAUCAAGUAGACCUCCAGGGUUAUUUCGAAU
rfam:Rhizobiales bacterium TMED28 19030, whole genome shotgun sequence.